GUUAUUGUUAAUACAAAAGCUUACAUCAAUUCAACCAUGCCAAAUUAUUACAUAAUUUUGAUUUGUUUCUCUUGCUUUUCUUAGCCAGUUGAUCAACAUGGGCUACAAACUUUUUAGGAACAUCGUUUUGGUCAUAUUCUGGAAGGAGAAGGUGUUGAAUGUUUGUUCAUCCAGUUGAUCUACCUGGGUGAAUUGUAAAUUAAUGUUUAAGCUGUAAAAACAAUAACAUAUUUAAAUUGAAUUGUAAAUCAAUGUUCAAUCAACAAGAAUCAUAUUUUCCGUCAAAACAAUAACAUCAUAUUUUUUAUCUUCAAAAUCGCAUUUUUGUCAAAAUUACAAAAUCAUAUUUUGAUCAAUUUAUAAAAUUACAUUUUCGUCAAAACACACGAAAUCAGUUUUUAUGCCAAAACUGAAAAAUACUUUUUUCGGCUCACCACAUAAUGGUAUUUUCGUCAAAAUACUAAAAUAUAUUUUCCGCCAAAAUCGUUCAUUCAUUUUAUUCACAAAAACUAUAAAAUCACAUUUUUUUUCUCUAAAUCCCACAAAGUCAUAUUUUAUGCCAAGAUCUCAAAAUUAUAUUUUUCUGUCAAAAACGGAAAAUACAUUAAAGAAGUCUUUUCUCACGGAGGGUUAUGUAAAAUUCAAUACAUGUUUUUUGUUUUGUCAUAAAAAUAUUGUUGUAAUUUCACUAACCUAUACUUUUGUAUUCAAAAUCAAGUUUUGAGUUAUUGUUGACAAUUUUUAGGGGUGGAUGUUGUAAUUAUGCUUUCUUUAAGACAAAUUUAUAUAUUAAAAAUUUCAAUGUCAUACAAAGUUUAAUUCAUAUUUAUUUAUUUCAAAUUAAUAUCAAGAGAAACUUACUAAAUUAUUAAUAAUGAAAGUUUUUAAUUCCAAGAAAAUAAAGCCAAAACGAAGAAGGUCAAGAUGUGUUUCAAUGUAUAGAUACUAAGUUUUUAAGCAAUGGUCAUAUUAUCCUUUUCUUCUUGGUCUCGUUUUCAUUAGUAACUUCAUCAAUAGCUUGCUUCUUUGUAUCUUCUGUUUCGUUUUUUCCGUCCUGCCCAAUUUCACAACCAAUACUUGAACUCUGGAAAGUAGGACAAGCUUCUCAUCUUCUUUUUUGAUGUUAUCAUCCAUCUCUGGUUCAUUUUCUUUGGUUGUUGUUAUAUCUUACAGUUCUUAAAAUAUUGAAUUAAUAUUACUGUCAUUAUAUAUUGUGAAUGAUGGGUUUAUAUUAAACAUCACCUUUGCUGUUAUGGUAUCAUCUUUUGGUUGAAGGAGAGAAUUUUCUUUGAUAAUUCAGGUCACCGUAAAACUUUGGAAAGAAGCUUUGAAGUUGUAACUCGGCAACCUUGACUUGGAAGUCCAUUGUCUUUCCAAUAAUGUUUAGAGGACGUUUUGGAACAUUUUGAUUGUCGUGAUUGUCUCAGGCACAUGAGGCAACACAUCAAAGGCGCCACCAAGAUAUCUGCAUCAAUCUCUAGCAUGAUCUGAGCGUAAUAUAGUUCUUAGGGUCUCAAAUGAUCACACACAUAAACCGAUCUUUAAAUCUCAAAGGUAUUUGAAUUACUAAAUGGGAUCUGAGAACUUUAUCAUGCAGUGGAUGCAAUACGCUCUUUGACAGUCAUGUUUUAAGGAAAGAAGCUUUAUAAACAGGGAACGUCAACACAACCCCUAGAUGAUGAGAAGCCAAACAACCUAAAAGGGCUUGUCAAGACAGCUUUUCCUGUUUCUCUAGCUCGCAAAAUGUUCUGACGAUCCUCCUGCAAAAGAAGCAAUGUGAUCAGAGGUUGUGCUACUAAUGGAUACAGAACCAAGCUAUUGAAACCAGAAGUAUAUGCAAGAUCACCUCGCUGACAUCAUAUCGUGUGAUUCAAGGUAAGAGACACUAUCUUGAGAGAAUAAUAUUACAGGAGCAUACUCAUCCAUAACCGGUGAAGACUCUCCUCUGUCAAUUGUCUUUAUAACCCAAUUAUGCUGACUCUCAAACAUCUCUCUCUCUGAGUCUGAGCAUUCACAACUUUUUCUGGAUAAGCCACUCCACAUUCUUAAACAAAAAUUUGUAAUAUCUCUGAAAGCCAUAUUAUAGCACAUGCUGCGUUUGUGUUAUGAUAUGAAGUUAGGAAACACAUGUGACUCGAUACUGCACUCGAGGAGGGCGUUAAGCUUAUUCACGUGAGUUAUCGGCUUGGAAACAAUGACGGAGAAAGGGUGAUUACUGUGAUGUCGUCGCGGCAGAGAGGGUUUGAGAGGAUAGUUGCGGUGGCUUUCAUAAGUUGUACCUAGCCAAUCAUAUUAUACACAUGCAACUUUCUCGUACGUAGCCUUCUCACAACAGAACAUUUUCAAUUUCUCCAUCACGAUGCCCUUCCGCACGUUUUGAUUGCUUCUAUUCUGACUGAGGACAACGACGUCUCCUUGCUCUGUCACUGGUUUCACCAGAGAUCUCGAUUCAGAUGUCGUCCGAGAGAUUCCCGCCGUUAGAUGUCGAGACUUACCUCUCUCAGUCCAGCCUCGAUUCUAACUUUGCUUAUUCUUCCUGUAUUUUUUUCACAGCUAUAGUUAAAAGCAAAGAAGAUAGAAACUGAUGUGUGUGUAAUCACGAAAUGUUUUCAUUGGCUUUUGAAAUGUUUUUUAAUUGACAUGGCAGCUCCAUAUCACUUGAAAAUGCUGAUGUGUCAGCUGCUGGAGACAGACUUGUGCUAUUUAUUAUUGAAGAAAAAAAAGAACUAGGGUUGUUCGUUUGUAUCAGAACGCCGCGAGGUCAUAUCUGAUUCGAGAGGAGCUAUGUAUAUGGGGCAUGAUCUUCCAGAUUGGACUACAAUGGAUAUAAAAGCCUAUUUGCUAUACGAGCCUGGUUGUGAGCCUAGGAAUAUGCAUAUUCCGUGUAUUAGACGAGGUGAGGAUGAAGGGCCUUAUUACACACACGAAGAAGAGGAACGCCUCAUUAACAAACAAGUCGAGGAGAGCAAGGGGUUCGACAUAGAUUUCAAGCAGUUCCGAUACGUUUUUAACUACAAACCUCUUGAUUUUGAUGACGACGAGAUGGCCAUUGAACCAGAAACCACCAGAGAGUUAAUGGACAGGCUCUCUCGUGAAUCCCUCGAGAAAUACAAUGAAAAGGAGGCUACACACUAUGAAUUUGUGAAGGUUACCAAGGCCAAUUAUUACAAUUCAGCUACAGCUGCCACAGUGUAUUUCAUUACCUAUCAAGGUAAGGCUUCUUCCGAUGAUGAGCCUAGAGACUUCCGAGCUAAGGUCGUCCAUAACUAUCAUACACCAGCCAAGUACAUCUCCUGCGAAAUGAAGCCAUACAAAAAUGUUCACUUCAUUGAAACUGCCGAGAACGAAGAUGCCAAGAGAACUAAGGUAUAUGAAAUAUCUAUAUCAUAUGUUUGUGUUACCUUUGAUGAGUCUUUCCCUUUGUGUUGAUUUUAGAUGGUUCUUGUUUUUUUUGCCAAAUAUUUGAAUUUCCAUUAGAAAGGGAAGCGUUUGUAAGAAUAUACAAAGUUUAAAACAGAUUAUGAUCUACCUUGGCAAAAAAAAGGAAAAACAAGAAUAGCAUCACGAAUGAAACGGUCCAGAAGCUUGAAAGUGAUGGCCGGAGGCGUGGAGAUGUUAUCGUGUAGACGCUUGUUCCGCUCGGACCAGAUGCAAUAAACAGUAGCAGAGACAACUAAGCGCUUGAGGAGAGUUGGUACGGUGUCUUCCUGCGAGCAUAACCAGUGGGUAAAAGCUGUCCAAGUAUGAAACCCAAAGAAACUAUAACCCAUCCGAACAAGACACAGAUUCCACAGUUCACUACUCCACUCACAGCGGAGGAAAAGAUGAUCUCUGUCUUCUGCAAAAGUGUUACAUAGGCAGCAAGAUGUGAUGAUAUUGAGACCCCAUCUCUCCAACCUUACUCGCGUGGGUAACCUGUCAAGCUGGGCCAGCCACAUUAGGAAGGAGUGUUUUGGAAUAGCACCUUUAAACCAUAUAUGAGUAGGACCACGUUGUCGCAGAGCCUCCCAUGUGUGUUUAGCUGAGAAUUUAUUGAGCGGAGUAUCAUUGACCAGCCAGAAGAAAGAGUCAGAACUGGUUUGUAGAGAUGGCAGAGGAACGGUUGUGAGGAACGUUUGAAGUUCUUCUGCAGCCUGAGAUCUUGCGCCUCCUAACAACCAUCCAAACGAGUCACACGUGUCUGAAACAGAGGCAAGUAAGGGAAUACCUAAUAACCGUGGACCAUCAAAUCCAAACUGCUCAAUAAGGGGGCCAAGGGGAGUCCAGUUAUCCCACCAGAAGCUAAUCCUCCUCCCAUUACCCAGUCUUGCACGUAAGAACCGAGAAGCUAAAGGCCGAAGCUGCAGGAGGGAUCUCCAAGUCCAUGACUUAGCAUUGUCUAUAUCGAAAUUCCAGAAAAUGCCCUCCUUCAGUCUGUUAGCUCUCAUCCAAAUAGCCCACAGGGACGACUCACUUCCAAACAGCAGCCAGAUCAGUAGAUGGUUCUUGUUCUCUCCUCAGAUUGACAAAUGAGCUAUCUAAUGUCUAAGACUGUAUGUGAGAUGCAAGGACAUCUGGCUAGACUUCUACCUUUAUGCGUUGUGAUAUUUUGUGCACAUUUUUGUUGUCUCAGUAAAACUGGAUACUUUUGGAUAUAUUUAAAAUGUUUUGGAGAUUUCA